rnacentral:rRNA from 1 species
AGGGAUUGUUAGGGAUGCCUAGCAAACAUAUCAGAGAAGAAGUGGAAACACUAAAUGCAUUAGUAUUUGUUAACUAAUGCGAUCUUGAGGGAAACCAUAUAUUUAUACUACAGACUGAACCGAAACAUCGUAGUAAGUCUAGGAAAGGAAAUCAACCGAGACCUUACAAGUAGUGGCGAACGAACGUAAGAUAGCCUAAGUGAUUUGUAAUAAACCUAAAACUCUGGAAAGGGUUAUGUCUAUAUGUCACCAUAGAAGGUAAAAGUCCUGUGGGUUUAUUAUCUCUCACUUUUCCUCUUUUUUUUGAAAAAAGUAGGGUAAAAACUUUUCAACAUUUAAUACUGUUCGAUUAUGUUUUUAAGUAGAGCGGAAUAAAACCUGCUCGAAAAUGGGGGUACCAUCCUCCAAGGCUAAGUAUGAUAUGUUUAGCGAUAGUGAAGAGUACUGUAAAGGAAAGGUUAAAAGCAAGUCGAUGACUGGUGAAAUAGAGCCUGAACUAGCAAUCCUAUAAGCAGACAGAGUAUUAAUUUAUAAUGUCGUACCUUUUGCAUAAUGGGUCAGCAACUUAAUAAUCUAGGCGAGACUAAAAGUCUAUAGCGCAAGCGACUGUCUAAUCUCUGCGCCCCUUUUUUGUAAUACAAAAAGGGGGCGCAAGAGAAGAUGGUAAUAUAGUCUAGGUUAUUAGACCCGAAACGACGUGAUCUAUCCAUGGACAGGAUUAUAGGUCCGAACAGGUGCACGUUGCAUAGUGCUCUGAUGAUCUGUGGAUAGGAGUGAAAUGCUAAUCUAACGUCGUGAUAGCUGGUUCUCUGCGAAAUGCAUUGCAGUGCAGCGUCUAAUUUGAACUUACGAAAGGUACAGCACUGAUUGACAUACCAUAAAGGUUGACUAGGGGGGUGUGAAAGCCCUAUCUAGGUCAGUUAACCUCGGAAUGUUCGUAAGUUUUUUUAGGCAGUGAGUCAUAGGGUGAUAAGGUCUUAUGACAAGAGGGAAACAGCCCAAACAAUGUGUUAAAGUCCCUAAGUUAUUGACAAGUGAAAUUAAGGAAGUGUACAACCUGAUACAACCAUUACGUGGGAUUGGAAGCGUCCAUCGUUUAUAGAAAGCGUAACAGCUCAGUGGUCUAGGUCGUAUGCGCCGAAGAUAUACCGGGUCUUAAUCAAUACACUAAUACCAUUGUAUGAUACCAUUUACAGGUGUCACUAAGUAGCAGAGCGUCCAGUAUCUAUGAAGAACAGUAUUUUAUUGUUUGGAGAUAACUGGAGUGAGGAUGCUGGCAUGAGUAGCAUAAAUGGAUGUUAAAUCAUCCACACCGAAAGAGAGAGGUUUCUGAGGGCAAGUUAGACUUCCUCAGGUUAUCAUUCAACUAUUUAUAUAGUUGAGUGGCGGUAUCUAAGGGACUAGCCAACGCGAAAUUCCGAUGAUUAUAUUGCAGAACGGUUACUGUGUUAAGAACAUAGAGAUCCAGGAAAAUAAUGCAAUCAUAGCUACCGUACCUAAACCGACACAGGUUCUCGGGUAGAGUAUACUAAGGUGACGGAAUAAUCAAAUUUAAGGAACUCGGCAAAAUGAUCUCGUACGUUCGACAAGAAGAGAUGCCCUUCUAUCAAUAUAGUUGGGUGACACAUAAUCGGGAAGUGAGACUGUUUACCUAAAACACAGCAGCCUGCUAACACUAAUUGUGGUCGUAUAGGUUGUGAUUCCUGUCCGGUGUCUCGUGAUAUGGUGAUUGAGGUUGUACUUCUGGUAUAGCCUUGAAACCUGAAGACGAGAUAAACGACGGUCUUAACUAUAAGGAUCCUAAGGUAGCGAAAUUCCUUGGCCGCUAAUUACGGUCCUGCAUCAAUGGAACAACUUUACUUCCGCUGUCUUAAAUUUGAGUCCGGUGAAAUUGAAUUAGCCGUGCAGAUGCGGUUUACCACCAGUUAGACGGGAAGACCCUAUGCAACUUUACUAUAGUCAGAUAUUGUGUUAAUCUAACAUUUGUCACAGUUAUGAGGUAGCUGAUAUAGCGCAAGUGAGAGACCUCAACAAAUUUUAGAUGCACUUACCUUGAUUUUCAAGGGAACGUGUCUGAUGGGUAGUUUUUCUGGGACGGAACCCUCCAAGAUAUCAUCGGAGGGGUCCAAUAGGUACACACAGCUUAGACGGGGACUAAGUGGUCAUGUAAGACCAAUAACAGCAUAAUGGCUUAAAGUGUGCUAAACUGAAUGACUGACGGGUCUAUCAGGUACGUAAGUAGGGCAUAGUGAACCGAUAAUAUGUUAUGGUACAGUUAUCGUUCAACGGAUAAGUUACGCUAGGGAUAAAUUUUGUUGUCCCUAUCUAGAUUCUUUUGGUUGCGCGAAAGAGUUCAUAGAAUCUUUUAUAGAGCUAUGUAAAAUAUCUAGAUAAACCGGGUGAAUUGCAAGAACGACUCUGAAUCAGGAGUUAAUUUGCAACGAAGACUUUCACCGUGACAUCUUAGGAUGUGUGGAAGUAACGCUCAACGACUAAGGAGUGAGUAGCACGAACAAUAAUCUCCACACGAGCACCCGGCGAUAUUUAACCUUUACCUUUACUAACUAGUAAUUAGAGUAUAGAAUAUCGAUGACAUAGUCUAAACAAUAUUGU